GGGGGGGGGGGGGGGGGGGGGGGGGGGGGGGGGGGCGGGGGGGCAGGCGGGGAGCGUGCGCCGCUGGGGGUGGCGGCGGGCGGGUGGGUACCACGUGGAGAACCUACCUAUACGACUGGGAUAACUUCGGGAAACCGGAGCUACUACCGGAUAACAUGUUGAACCGCAUGGUUCCACCGUGAAAGCCGGUCUUGCUGUCCCUUAUAGAUAGAUCCGCGCCGCAUUCGCUAGUUGGUAAGGUAACGGCUUACCAAGGCAACGAUGCGUAGCCGACCUGAGAGGGUGAUCGGCCACACGGGAACUGAGACACGGUCCAGACUCCUACGGGAGGCAGCAGUAGGGAAUCUUCCGCAAUGGGCGAAAGCCUGACGGAGCAACGCCGCGUGAGUGAAGAAGGUCUUCGGAUCGUAAAACUCUUUUAUUAGGGAAGAACAAAUGUGUAAGUAACUAUGCACGUCUUGACGGUACCUAAUCAGAAAGCCACGGCUAACUACGUG
rnacentral:rRNA from 1 species